rfam:Trypanosoma congolense IL3000, WGS project CAEQ01000000 data, contig: contig_2813
AGUCCCGCCAGCUACCACGUGGAGUGUAUACAUUCUGUCUUCACGUUGGUCGUUCUGCCGGGCCGAGAGCC